rnacentral:rRNA from 1 species
ACGGGAGGCAGCAGUGGGGAAUAUUGGGCAAUGGGCGAAAGCCUGACCCAGCAACGCCGCGUGAAGGAAGAAGGUCUUCGGAUUGUAAACUUCUUUUAUGUGGGACGAACAAAUGACGGUACCGCAUGAAUAAGCCACGGCUAACUACGUGCCAGCAGCCGCGGUAAUACGUAGGUGGCAAGCGUUAUCCGGAUUUACUGGGUGUAAAGGGCGCGUAGGCGGGGAAGCAAGUCAGAUGUGAAAUCCAUGGGCUCAACCCAUGAACUGCAUUUGAAACUGUUUCUCUUGAGUGCUGGAGAGGUAGAUGGAAUUCCUAGUGUAGCGGUGAAAUGCGUAGAUAUUAGGAAGAACACCAGUGGCGAAGGCGAUCUACUGGACAGUAACUGACGCUGAGGCGCGAAAGCGUGGGGAGCAAACAGGAUUAGAUACCCUGGUA